rnacentral:rRNA from 1 species
UGCAAGUCGAGCGAUGAAACACCUUCGGGUGUGAAUUAGCGGCGAACGGGUGAGGAACACGUGAAGAAUCUGCCUUCAACUCUGGGAUAACUCCGGGAAACCGGGGCUAAUACCGGAUAUGAGCCUCGAUCGCAUGAUUGGGGCUGGAAAGUUUUUCGGUUGAAGAUGACUUCGCGGCCUAUCAGCUUGUUGGUGAGGUAAUGGCUCACCAAGGCGACGACGGGUAGCCGGCCUGAGAGGGCGACCGGCCACACUGGGACUGAGACACGGCCCAGACUCCUACGGGAGGCAGCAGUGGGGAAUAUUGGGCAAUGGAGGAAACUCUGACCCAGCGACGCCGCGUGAGGGACGAAGGCCUUCGGGUUGUAAACCUCUUUCAGUAGGGAAGAAGCGAAAGUGACGGUACCUACAGAAGAAGCACCGGCUAACUAUGUGCCAGCAGCCGCGGUAAUACAUAGGGUGCAAGCGUUGUCCGGAAUUAUUGGGCGUAAAGAGCUCGUAGGUGGUUCGAUACGUCGGAUGUGAAAAUCAGGGGCUCAACCCCUGACCUGCAUCCGAUACGGUCGAGCUAGAGUUUGGUAGGGGAGACUGGAAUUCCUGGUGUAGCGGUGGAAUGCGCAGAUAUCAGGAGGAACACCGAUGGCGAAGGCAGGUCUCUGGGCCAAUACUGACACUGAGGAGCGAAAGCGUGGGGAGCGAACAGGAUUAGAUACCCUGGUAGUCCACGCCGUAAACGGUGGGCGCUAGUUGUGCGAACCUUCCACGGUUUGUGCGACGCAGCUAACGCAUUAAGCGCCCCGCCUGGGGAGUACGAUCG